AACGAACGCUUGCGGCGCGCCUAAUACAUGCAAGUCGAACGAGAAAGCCCUUCGGGGUGAGUACAGUGGCGGACGGGUGAGGAACACGUAGAUAACCUGCCUUUGAGAGGGGAAUAACUACUCGAAAGAGUGGCUAAUACCGCAUGAGACCACAGUAACCACGGUUACAGGGGUCAAAGUAUUUCGCUCAAAGAUGGGUCUGCGUCCGAUUAGCUUGUUGGUAGGGUAAUGGCCUACCAAGGCUCCGAUCGGUAGCUGGUCUGAGAGGAUGAUCAGCCACACUGGAACUGAGACACGGUCCAGACUCCUACGGGAGGCAGCAGUAGGGAAUAUUGCACAAUGGAGGAAACUCUGAUGCAGCGACGCCGCGUGAGUGAUGAAGGCCUUCGGGUUGUAAAACUCUGUGAUAAGAGAAGAUAAUGACGGUAUCUUAUCAGAAAGGACCGGCUAACUUCG
rnacentral:rRNA from 1 species